AUGUUUCUACUUUGUGUCAUCAACUCAGUAUGUGUUUCGAAUUGUGAAUUUGAUGGUUUUAUUGUGCUGCAAUUGUUAUGGAUCAUGAUUUGAGAAUUACCUUAAAAUUAAUUGUGUUUUCAAUCCUCUAGUCAACAAGAGAGUGGUGUUGGCAAUGUGCACAUUACAUAUGACGUGACCAUGAUUAGUGGCACAGUCAUUGAGCUGUGGUAGCUCGGGGGCUUUGGAAGCCUGAUUAUUUUCAUGACUGAGUUUGCUGUGGCAACUGGUUGUGUUGGAGUUUAGAU
rnacentral:lncRNA from 1 species